CCUACGGGAGGCAGCAGUGAGGAAUAUUGGUCAAUGGACGAGAGUCUGAACCAGCCAAGUAGCGUGAAGGAUGACUGCCCUAUGGGUUGUAAACUUCUUUUAUAUGGGAAUAAAACAGGGUAUGCAUACCCUCUUGUAGGUACCAUAUGAAUAAGGAUCGGCUAAUUCCGUGCCAGCAGCCGCGGUAAUACGGAGGGUCCGAGCGUUAUCCGGAUUUAUUGGGUUUAAAGGGAGCGUAGGCGGGUUGUUAAGUCUGUUGUGAAAGUGCGUGGCUCAACCGUAGAAUUGCAGUUGAAACUGGAUUGCUUGAGGGCAGUAGAGGUAUGCGGAAUUCGUGGUGUAGCGGUGAAAUGCUUAGAUAGCACGAAGAACUCCGAUUGCGAAGGCAGCAUACUGGAGUGCAACUGACGCUGAUGCUCGAAGGGGUGGGUAUCGAACAGGAUUAGAUACCCCUGUAGUC
rnacentral:rRNA from 1 species